CCUCAGUGAUGGACACCCACUCCUAUCCCACUGGCAGCCCUUAGUCUUCCUGCUGCUCACCUCUGCUCUGCCAUGGGAUCUCCAUUACCUUCCCAUACCUAAACCAACCUCAGUUCUCCAUUUGUGGGAGGAUGCCAGAGUGGACAGCUUGGUCAAGGUGGGCCACCCGACUGUGACAGAGAGAGAGGAGAAUGAAACUAAAGGAUUCAAAGGAACUUGAUGUACAAUGACUGCUCUCGGUAAUAACUUCCUGUGCAUCUGGAAUCACAGCAAGUGAUGGAGAUGUUAGUGAUCUGAAAAUCAACUUCUUCAGUGCGCACAGCCUGUAGGUAAUCUCCAGAAAGCUG